rnacentral:rRNA from 1 species
UAGGGAAUCUUCGGCAAUGGACGAAAGUCUGACCGAGCAACGCCGCGUGAGUGAAGAAGGUUUUCGGAUCGUAAAACUCUGUUGUUAGAGAAGAACAAGGACGUUAGUAACUGAACGUCCCCUGACGGUAUCUAAUCAGAAAGCCACGGCUAACUACGUGCCAGCAGCCGCGGUAAUACGUAGGUGGCAAGCGUUGUCCGGAUUUAUUGGGCGUAAAGCGAGCGCAGGCGGUUUCUUAAGUCUGAUGUGAAAGCCCCCGGCUCAACCGGGGAGGGUCAUUGGAAACUGGGAGACUUGGGUGCAGAAGAGGAGAGUGGAAUUCCAUGUGUAGCGGUGAAAUGCGUAGAUAUAUGGAGGAACACCAGUGGCGAAGGCGGCUCUCUGGUCUGUAACUGACGCUGAGGCUCGAAAGCGUGGGGAGCAAACAGG